CAGGAGCUGGUACCACCCCACUUCACUAGCUAUGCUGCUUGUGGUGGAAAUGCUGUCUGUUGUCAAGGAUGUUGAGGAAGCAGAAGCUGCGGCGUGCUUGGGAGGGAUUCGGCAAAAGCAGAAGCUGCGGCAUGCUUGAGUCUAACAGCUUGUUUUUCUUUUUGACAUGUGCAACUACAACCUACUUGCUCCUGGUGGUGUCGAUGACACAUGAAGCAAGUAGAAUGAGCAUGCAAAAUAAAGUUCUUUGAUACAAAUGAACUCACAAGUUUUGUCAUUAGGUCCUGUCAAAGAUGAGCAUUUUAUUUCUAUGCUGGUCUUGUACAAAUUUGAGGUGUUUGGGGCUUAUCUUCCUAAGAAAGAAAUUCAAAUGCCGUACUACAAAACUUUGAUUUUCAUGAGCUCUUGACAUGAGUUUCCUUUAUUGCAAUCCAUAAUAUCUCAUUGUUUUUUCUUGACAUGAAAUUUGACAUAUUCCAUGAGAGGAUGAAUACCUCAAGAGAUUGAUGAGCCGGCCUAAUCAGGUUGGCCAUAUGAUACAAGCUGAAUCUGAUAAUGCUAAGAGGGAUGAAUAGGAUGAAUACCUCAAGAGAUUGAUGAGCCGGUGUUGACAGCCAAAAUUGGCACCAACCGGUCUGACCGGUCUG